rnacentral:rRNA from 1 species
ACGGGGGGAGCAAGCGUUGUUCGGAUUUACUGGGCGUAAAGGGCGCGUAGGCGGCAAUUCAAGUCAGCUGUGAAAUCUCCGGGCUUAACUCGGAACGGUCAGCUGAUACUGCUUUGCUAGAGUGCAGAAGGGGCAAUCGGAAUUCUUGGUGUAGCGGUGAAAUGCGUAGAUAUCAAGAGGAACACCUGAGGUGAAGACGGGUUGCUGGGCUGACACUGACGCUGAUGCGCGAAAGCCAGGGGAGCAAACGGGA